UUUCCAUUUACUUAAUUAAAUUCAUUUCGAAGUUUGUUUUGGUACUAUAAUUUAGUUAACUGAUAUUAUUUGAAUGGACACUUCUAUAUUAAAACUUCAAGCAUCUACUCGCACGGGUGGAAAAGGCACCCCAAGACUGAAAACAAGAGUUGUAAACAAUAAAGGAAACUCUGAUAACAAUAGAAUUCAACUUGCUUUAAAGAAAUUGCAGCUUAACACAAUUCCAGGCAUUGAUGAAGUUAGUAUGUUUACUGAUGACAAUAAAAUAUUGCACUUUGAAAAACCAAAAGUUCAAGGGUCUUUGCAAUCGAAAACUUUUACCGUUUCUGGCCGUUGUCAAACUCGAAGUAUAGAGUCCACCCUAAGUUCGAUUCCAGGAGCAAAGAACCGUUUAAAAACUGAAGAUUCUAUUAUAGAGGGAACCCCCAACAGCGCAAAUCAUCAAGUAGCAAACGACGAUGACGACGAUAUUCCGGAGCUUCUUGGAAAUAUAGAUGCUGAUUAAGUAUUUAAUUUACAAAGGAUUG